rfam:Felis catus isolate Cinnamon breed Abyssinian chromosome D2, whole genome shotgun sequence.
GCCUGGGUGGUUCAGUCGGUGGAACGUCUGACUCUGGCUCAGGUCAUGAUCUCGCGGCUCGUGGGUUCGAGCCCCGCGUCGGGCU